rnacentral:rRNA from 1 species
UGUCUCGUUGAACGCAUAUUGCGCGUCGUGUCGGUCAAACGCACGAUGCACACAUCCUUGAGUGCCUAU